rnacentral:rRNA from 1 species
CAAAAAGAAAACCAAGGGCCCAGCACACACAGCAGCAGGCCCAGGACAAAGUGGGCGUCCGCUCAAGGGAGUAAACAUGGGAUUAGAUACCCGUCUAUUCAUGAAAUGCCCACUAGAUUGAAGACUACGAGCCAUUCGCUUAAAACUCAAAGACUUUGGCGGUGUCUUAUCAAAUUAGGGGAACCUGCCCCAUAAAUCGACAAUCCACGACUAAAUAACCUUUAUUAGAUCUUUUAAACAGUCUGUAUACUGCCGUCGUAAGUAAGCCUCUGAAAGACUUAGAGCCUACAACAAACAAUCACCGUAUCACGUCAGGUCAUAGUGCAACCAAUAUAUGGGAGGUGGUGGGUUACAACCUAUAUAACGACACGAAUCUACAUAAUUAAGCCGUAGUGAAGGAGGACUUAAUUGUAAUUUAAUAACUAAAUUUAAAUGAGCUGAAUUAAGACAUGCACACAUCGCCCGCAUCGCAAGGAAACAUUA